GACGAACGCUGGCGGCGUGCUUAACACAUGCAAGUCGAACGGAAAGGCCCUGCUUGCAGGGUACUCGAGUGGCAAACGGGUGAGUAACACGUGGGUGAUCUGCCCUGCACUUCGGGAUAAGCCUGGGAAACUGGGUCUAAUACCGGAUAGGAGCCAUUUUUAGUGUGAUGGUUGGAAAGUUUUUUCGGUGUAGGAUGAGCUCGCGGCCUAUCAGCUUGUUGGUGGGGUAAUGGCCUACCAAGGCGGCGACGGGUAGCCGGCCUGAGAGGGUGGACGGCCACAUUGGGACUGAGAUACGGCCCAGACUCCUACGGGAGGCAGCAGUGGGGAAUAUUGCACAAUGGGCGCAAGCCUGAUGCAGCGACGCCGCGUGGGGGAUGACGGCCUUCGGGUUGUAAACUCCUUUCGCUAGGGACGAAGCUUUAUGUGACGGUACCUAGAGAAGAAGCACCGGCUAACUACGUG
rnacentral:rRNA from 1 species